AUGUGUGGUGUGUGGGUGUGUGGGUGUGUCAGUAUGUGUGGGUGUGUACAGUAUGUGUGGUGUAUGGGUGUGUACAGUAUGUGUGGGUGUGUACAGUAUGUGUGGUGUGUGGGUGCACGUGGGUGUGUACAGUAUGUGUGGUGUGUAGGUAUACAGUGUGUGUGUGGGUGUGUACAGUGUGGGUGUGUACAGUAUGUGUGGUGUAUGGGUGUGUACAGUAUGUGUGGGUGUGUACAGUAUGUGUGGUGUGUGGGUGUGUACAGUAUGUGUGGGUGUGUACAGUAUGUGUGGUGUGUGGGUGUGUACAGUGUGUGUACAGUAUGUGUGGUGUAUGGGUGUGUACAGUAUGUGUGGGUGUGUACAGUAUGUGUGGUGUGUAGGUGUGUACAGUGUGUGUGGGUGUGUACAGUGUGGGUGUGUACAGUAUGUGUGGGUGUGUACAGUAUGUGUGGGUGUGUACAGUAUGUGUGGUGUAUGGGUGUGUACAGUGUGUGUGGGUGUGUACAGUAUGUGUGGGUGCACGUGGGUGUGUACAGUAUGUGUGGUGUGUGUGUACAGUAUGUGUGGUGUAUGGGUGUGUACAGUGUGUGUGGUGUAUGGGUGUGUACAGUAUGUGUGGGUGUGUACAGUAUGUGUGGUGUAUGGGUGUGUACAGUAUGUGUGGGUGUGUACAGUAUGUGUGGGUGUGUACAGUAUGUGUGGGUGUGUACCGUAUGUGUGGUGUGUGGGUGUGUGGGUGUGUACAGUAUGUGUGGUGUGUACAGUGUGUGUGGGUGUGUACGGUAUGUGUGGGUGUGUACAGUAUGUGUGGGUGUGUACAGUAUGUGUGGUGUAUGGGUGUGUAUAGUAUGGGUGUGUACAGUAUGUGUGGUGUAUGGGUGUGUACAGUAUGUGUGGUGUAUGGGUGUGUACAGUAUGUGUGGUGUAUGGGAGUGUACAGUAUGUGUGGUGUAUGGGAGUGUACAGUAUGUGUGGUGUAUGGGAGUGUACAGUAUGUGUGGUGUAUGGGAGUGUACAGUAUGUGUGGUGUAUGGGAGUGUACAGUAUGUGUGGUGUAUGGGUGUGUACAGUAUGUGUGGUGUAUGGGUGUGUACAGUAUGUGUGGUGUAUGGGUGUGUACAGUAUGUGUGGUGUAUGGGAGUGUACAGUAUGUGUGGGAGUGUACAGUAUGUGUCGUGUAUGGGUGUGUACAGUAUGUGUGGUGUGUGGGUGUGUACAGUAUGUGUGGUGUAUGGGUGUGUACAGUAUGUGUGGUGUAUGGGUGUGUACAGUAUGUGUCGUGUAUGGGUGUGUACAGUAUGUGUGGUGUGUGGGUGUGUGUCUAUAGCCUCCUCUGCUGUGUUGUAG
rnacentral:lncRNA from 1 species